UACGUAGGGGGCUAGCGUUGCUCGGAAUCACUGGGCGUAAAGCGCACGCAGGCGGUUUGCUAAGUCAGGGGUGAAAUCCUGGAGCUCAACUCCAGAACUGCCUUUGAUACUGGCGAUCUCGAGUCCGGGAGAGGUGAGUGGAACUGCGAGUGUAGAGGUGAAAUUCGUAGAUAUUCGCAAGAACACCAGUGGCGAAGGCGGCUCACUGGCCCGGUACUGACGCUGAGGUGCGAAAGCGUGGGGAGCAAACAGG
rnacentral:rRNA from 1 species